ACAAGCAGGGGUAGUGGUAGGGGAAGAUGCAGGCCUCCUGCUGAGCAGGGAGCCUGAUGCGGGGCUCCAUCCCAGGACCCCAGGACCCCAGGACCAUGGCAUAAGCGGAAGUCAGACACCUAACAACUGAGCCACCUAGGUGCCCCAAGAUUUUUUUUUUUAAAGUAAUCUCUACAACCAGUGUGGGGCUUGAACUCACAACCCUGAGAUCAAGUAUGACAUGCUCCUCUGACUGAGCCAGCCCGGCGCUCCUAGAGUCACCUUUUUUUUUUUUUUUUUUUAAGAUUUCUUUAUUUAUUUGAGAGAGCUCUUGCAAGCAAGUGUGCACAAGUGGGGCAGGAGGCAAGGGAGGAGAGAGAGAAUCCUCACCCUGACUCCCUGCUGAGCACAAAGCCCUUCUUGGAGUUCAACCCCAGGAUUCUUAGAUCAUGAUCCAAGUGGUAACCAAGAGUCAGACACUCCCCUGAGCGUGCCACUCAGGUGUCCCUCUACAGUCAACUUUUAAGUGGUGGUUAGCAUCUGAAUGCAGAACUGAUUUUAGGGCACCUGUGUGUGUCAGAUCCUGAUUCCAGGGUCCUGGGAGUAAGCCCCAUGUCAGGAUCUCUGCUGGGUGGGAAGCCUGCUUCUCCCUCUCCCCCUAUUUGUGUUCCCUUUCUCACUCUGUUUCUCUGUGCGCCCCAAAUAAAUAAAAUCUUAAAAAAAAAAGAAAAGAACUAAUUUUAGAGCCCUUUCCCCUGCAUAGAAACUAUAUAGAGAAAGAGAGGAGAACCGCACAGAACUCUGAGGAAUACCAAAACUUAAGAGGUGGACAGGAAAAGAGAUCACAUCAAAGAAGAAUCAGAGAUAAUAGUUUUUUAGGGCUGCCAUAAUAUAAAGUGCUCUGGGCUUAAUCAACCGAAGUUCAUCUUCUCACAGUUCUGGACGUUAGGAGUCUGAGAUCAAGGUAUCGUCAGCGCUGUUAUUUCUGAGGUGUCAGUCCUUGUCACAUGUAGCUGUUUUCUGUCUUCACAUGCUCUUUACUCUGUGCACACCUGUGUCCCGACUCCCUUGGUAAGGACACCAGUUACAUUGGAUGAAAGCCCCCCCACCACCCACCUCAUUUAACCUUAAUUACCUCUGUAAAGAGCCUAUUUCCAAAUGUAGUCAAAUUCUGAGCUACUGGGGAUUAGGACUUCAAUACAUGCAUUUGGGGAAAACAAUUUACUUUAUUAUAUAUUAUAGCAUUCUUAAUUUUUCCUUCACAGCAUCUAGAAUAAUUUUGUGUUUUAAUAAUUCUAAAUUAUUUUAAUUAUUAUGUUAAAUUUCUAGAUUUUUAAAAAAGAUUUUAUUUAUUUGUUUGACAGAGGGAGAGAGAUCACAAGUAGACAGAGAGGCAGGCGGGGGUGGGGGGAAGCAGGCUCCCCACUGAGCAGAGAGCCCGAUGCAGGGCUCGAUCCCAGGACCCUGAGAUCAUGACCUGAGCUGAAGGCAGAGACUUAACCCACUGAGCCACCCAGGCGUCCAAAAUCUCUAGAUCUUAAUUAUACCUUUUAAAAUCUCUUCUCAUUUUUAUAGUCUUUUAUCCUUCAGUCAUACUUACAUUUCCUUUAAAUUUAUUAAACAUACUUAUUUAUAUGAUGUAUUAUGAUUCCGGUAACCAAAGUCUCUGUGGGCUUAGUUCUGCUAUUUAUAACUUCUGCUCAUUCUCAUCCUCGGUGCCUUAUUUCCUGUUGCCUUGUGUUUUGGGAUUUGUAUUUGUGAACUCAUAUUUGAAGAAGUUUUAGGGAAUUUUUGAGGUCUGGAUUGAAGGUGCCUUUCUUCAGAGAGGAUUUGUGUUUCUUUUCUUUUCUUUCCUUCUUUUAAGUAGGCUCCACACCCAGCAUGGACCCCAUAGGGCCCAGUGUAGAGCUUGUCCUCCUGACCCUGAGAUCAAAACCUGAGCUGAGGGACGCCUGGGUGACUCAUUUGGUUAAGGGUCUGCUUGGGCUCAGGUCAUGAUCUCAGGGUCCUGGGAUCAAGCCCCACAUCGGGCUUUCUGUUUGGUGGGAAGCCUGCUUCUCCCUCUCCCAUUUCCCCUACUUGUGUUCCCUUUCUCACUGUGUCUCUGUCAAAUAAAUAAAUAAAAUCUUAAAAGAAAAAAGACCUGAGCGGAGAUCAAGAGUUGGACACUUAACUGACUAAGCCAUCCAGGCAUCCCUCUUUAUUUCUUUCAGGAGCCUAGAGAUACUACCAACUUGUGAAUGAGUUUAAAAUAAAAUCUGAGUUUAAUUAUUUCUGCUUAUUCAGGUAAUAUGAAUCUAGGUUAUAAACCCAUGAGAGGACCAACUUGUGAAUUCUAAGGGGAGAUCUUUUUCUUCUCAUUUUGAGCCAAGACUGAGAUAAGGACAUUUAUUUUCCAUCUCUUAUCUCAGGGUGGAUACUUUCUAGUUUGCCCUUCCACUGAGAGUGGAGUCUGCAGGAGGCCUAGCCUUGUUUGGGGGCAUUCCAAUCCAGUUGCUCUUUUUGCACAAGCCCUAGACUUUGUCUGCUAUCCCUUGAGAAACCAUUAAGAUGGAAGUUCUGUCUCUGGGGGUUAGCAGAUGUCUCUAGAAUAUUCACCAAUUUCAGCCUUAUGUUUUCGGACUCAUGCUUUUGCUUUUUAUAUUUGAGCUGGUGUUUUGAGGUGUUUUGUUGUGGAAUAGUUGUCAGGUUAACUGGUGUGUUAUACUGCUAGAUUCUUCGUUGAAUGUUGAUGCCUUCACACCCUCCUGCCUCCCUCACUACAAAGUUCCAUGAGGGCAGAGGGCAGAUCCAUCUUACCACUGCUAUUUUCUGGCACACAGAAAGUGAUCGAUAAAUAUUUAUUGACUGUAUGAAAGUAGAAAGAAAGGAGUUCCUUGAAAAGAGAGGAAAAAAUUCAGGUAAGGACUGAAAAUAGUCCAUGUACUUAGCAAUUAAGUAAUUUUGAGAAUAGAUUUUGUACAUUAAUGAGGGCAAGAGCUGAAUUUCACUGGAUUAAAGAGUAAAUAGUAAUUGAAAAUUUCUUUAUCAAGAAAUUUUAGAGUGAUGAGAAAGCAGAGGGUGUUUGGGUUGAAGAAAGAAUGGGGGUUUCAAACCUUUGUAGGUUAGAGAGAAUGAUCUUCUGGCAUGAAAGAAAUUAGAAAGAAGAAAGAAGGGGGGCACCUGGGUGGCUUAAUCAGUUAAGUGUCUGACUCUUGAUGUUGGCUCAGGUCAUGAUCUCAGGGUUAUAAAAUCGAACCCUGUGCUGAGCCCCGAGUGGGGCUCUGUGCUCAGAGGGGAGUCUGCUUGAGAUUCUCUCCCUUGUCCUCUGCCCCUCCCCCCACUCACACACACUGUCUCUCAAAUAAAUAAAUCUUUAAAAAAAUUAUUUAUUUGAGAAUGAAAGAGAGAGAGAGACAGAGCACAGGCAGAGAGAGGGGAAGAGGGAGAAGCUGAUACUCUGCUGAGCAGGGAGCCCAAUAUGGUACCUGAUCCUGGGACUCCCAGGAGCCAAAGGCAGACACUUAACUGAGCCACCCAGGUAUCCCCAUAAAUAAAUCAUAAAAAAAAAAGGGCGGGGGGAGAGAAGGGGCAAUUGAUAGAGCAUGGUAUUCCAGAAGAGACAGAUGGGAGGGCAGAAUUAAAGCCUCUAUAAGGAGAUUCUGUUAUUUAACUAAGUAAGAUGGGGUGCCCACUCCUUUUCAGGUGGAAUGCAAGGUGGUCUGCAAAAGCCAGAGGCUUGAACUAUAGUGAGGUGCUUGAGGAGAACAGCUCUGGGAAAUUCACAAGAAAUCUAGCUUCCAUGCAGACUGCCACAUUAAGGCUGGAUAUCACUGACUCCCAUCAGUGGUAUCCAUAAAGCAGCAGCCUAGAACUGGUAGUAGAGAAAACACACCUCUAUCCCCAAUACCUAGAACAACUCUUGGCACUUCAGUAGGCAGUUGAUAAGUAUUUCUUAAUAAACAAACAAAGAUUAGCAUUAGAAGUGGGGAAUAGUGAGGCAGUUGGGACCAAAGAACAAAAGACAAAGGUAAUUGAGGGUGUGGCAAGUGUCUUGAGGUAGAUCAUUGUCCAUGGAGCCUCAGGUGGACCAGGUAAAAAGUGAGGCCACAAAGGAUCUGUUAGGCUGGAACUGUGGUUGGCCAUAAGUGAACAAAACUGAAGAAUGACUGAAAUUUUGUUUUUAAGAUUUUGUUUAUUUGACAGAGAGAUCACAAGUAGGCAGAGAGGCAGGCAUAGAGAGAGGGAGGAGGAAGCAGGCUCCCCACUGAGCAGAGAGCCCGAUGAGGGGCUCGAUCCCAGGACUCUAAGAUCAUAACCUGAGUGGAAGGCAGAGGCUUAACCCACUGAGCCACCCAGGCGCCCCUCAGUGUUUUUCCUUUUGGCCUGUGACAUGGAACUCAGAUUGACUUCUCUUCUAUAAAGUCUGACAAUGGGACCUGCAGCUGCAGGUUCCAACUGAACCAGGCUCCUGAUUGUUAUAAGCUGAAAAGGCAAUGUGAGCACUAUCCAGAAUCCCAUUAACUAAUAAUAGAUUAAUACCAAAUUAGAGGUCUCUAGUACAUUCCACCAGGCUUUGACCUGGGAGCUGUCAUGUUCAACGUUUGUACAGAUGGUUUUGUUUAGAACUGAUGGCAGUCGCACCUGGCUGUGUGUGGUGGUCUACAGUUGGUAGAACAUUGAUGCUUGAUCUUGAGGUCAUGAGUUUGAGUCCCAUGUUGGGUGUAGAGAUUACUUUAAAAAUCAGUUAAUUAAUUUUAGAAUAAAGAACAUUGAUGACAGAUGGUUACAUUUGUUGAUAGGAAGAAUAUGGGAGGGGUAAUGAAUAUAUUGUUGGAGAACAGAAUCAGAAUGCAAAGAGAAUGCAGGCUAGACCAAAGCUAACAAGAUUUAGUUUAAAUGGGCUAAAUGUAAAGUGUAGCACAAAGAAGGUUAUGUGUGUGUGUAUGUGUGUAUGAUAUGGGAGAUAUGGCAUAAUAUGAUUUGAAAAUUACUUAGGAAACUGAAUAGUAAUAUGGGCAAAGUAGAGGGGCCUAGGUGGCCCAGUUGGUUAUGCCUCCAACUCUUGGUUUUGGCUCAGAUGGUGAUCUCAGGGUGGUGGGAUCAAGCUCCAUGUUGGGCUGUGUUUAGUGCAAAGUCUGCUUAAGACUCUCUCUCCUGGGGCACCUGGGUGGCUCAUUGGUUAAAGCCUCUGCCUUCAGCUCAGGUCAUGAUCCCAGGGUCCUGGGAUUGAGCCCCACAUUGGGCUCUCUCUCAGUGGAGAGCUUGCUUCCCCCCCUCCUCUCUCUCUCUCUGCCUCUCUGCCUACUUGUGACCUCUGUCAAGUAAAUAAAUAAAAUCUUAAAAAAAAAACCUCUCUCUCCCUCUUCCUCUGCUCCCCCCAUCCCCCGCAUGCUCACACACACUCACUCUCUCAAAUAAAAUCUUUUUUUUUUUUUAACAUUUUAUUUAUAUAUUUGAGAUAGAGUGUGCACGAGAGAGAGAAGGAACAGGGGCAGAGGCAGAGGGAAAGGGAGAAGUAGACUCCCCACUGAGGAGGGAGCCCAACGCUGGGAUCAUGACCUGAGCUGAAGGCAUACACUUAACUGACUGAGUCACCCACAUGCCCCUCAAAUAAAAUCUUAAAUAAAUAAAUAAAUAAACACGGGCAAAAUAGGCAAAUAAACUAGAGGACAUACAAAUGGCAUAUACAUACAUACACACUCAUAUAUAUACAUACGUAUACAUGUAUGUGUGUGUUCUUAUAGGAGAUAACUUUUAUUCAUCUUUCUUAUUGGCAAAAAUUUAAGACUGCUAAUACCAAGUGUUAGCAAAAGUAUGGAGAAUUGUCCAAGGUAUUCACACAAGUUGGUGGGAAUAUAAAUCAUUUUAGUGCAAUUUUAAGUAUAUAUUAAAAUUUUAAAAGUACAUAUCCUAAAACCUAGCAAUUCACUCUUUGAAUGUUUAUUGAAGAGUCUCAGUUGGUUAAGCAUCUGACUCUUGAUCUUAGCAUCUCAGCUCAGGUCUCAAUCUCUUGAGUGAUGCCUACUUAAAUUUUUUUUUUUUUUUUACCCCAAAGAGAUACUCCUGUGUAGCACUAAGAGUCAUAAAGAAUCUUCAAUGAAACAUUGUAAUAACAACAACAACAACAAAAUGGAAACACUGUGUAUGCAACAAGAGACUGGUUAAACCAUUACCUCCAUACUAUAGGCUACUGUUUGGCAGUUAUAAAAGGGAGAUGGCUUUAUUCGUACUGAUGUGAGAAGUUCUCUGUAAUGUGUUAAUGUGAAAAAAGAUGUAGAAUAGUACAAAUCAUUUGAUACAUUUAUGUUUUAAAAAUCUCUUACAACUACAUAUUUCCACAUGAAAUAUAUAUCCAUGUAAAAUACACAGGAAAAAAGUCUGGAAGAAUAUAUAACCAAAGUGAAACAGUAUGUAUCCCUGGAAGGAAAGGACUGGGAUUUGGGAUAUUGGUCAAAGGAAACUUUGGAUUUGUCUGUUGUUUUUUUAAAUGAAGAUUUAGAUCUCUAUUAUUUACAUGUUUUAUAAAGUAAAUGCAUUCAUGUUAUUUAUGAAGUCAAAACAAAUGAAAACAACCCCACCUCACCCCGUAAUUACACUUGUAGGUUUUAUGUAGUAUCGGUUUUAUUUCAUUUUUUAAAAAAGCUUUUUAUUUUUUUAAAGCUUUUUAUUUUUAUUUAAAAGGCUUUAUUAUUUUUAUUUUAUUUAUUUUUAUUUUUUAAAAAGAUUUUAUUUAUUUAUUUGACAGAGAGCACAAGCAGUGGGGGAGCAGUAGGCAGAGGGAGAGGGAGAAGCAGGCUUCCUGCUGAGUGGGGAGCCCAAUGUGGGGCAGAGCCCAGGAUCCUGAGAUUAUGAUCUGAGCAGAGGCUUAAUCCACUGAGCCAUGCAGGCGUCCCUGUAGUGUCAGUUUUAAUGAGUCAACAGUGUGCAGCACUUGGGUGGCUCAGUUGGUUAGGUGUCUGCCUUCAGCUCGAAUGGUGGUCUCAGGGUCCUGGGAUCACAGUCUUCCUGCUCAGAGGCAAGUCUGAUUGUCCCUCUGCCCCUCUCCCUUCUGUGCUUUCUUUCCCUCUCUCUUUCUCUCUCUUUCAAAUAAAUAAAAUCUUAAAAAAAUGAGUCAGAGGUGUGAUAGGGUAGGCAGUGAAUCUAAGGAUGCCUAAGGCUCUCCUACAGUCCAAGUCUACAACCAACCAAGUGGUGGUUUAGUUCUCCUUGGCUCAGUCAGGCCACAUCUGGACAAAACUUAGGCACACUGACAUAUUUGAGCUCUUCUAGAGAGCAGCCAGAGUCAUGCCAGGAAUGCAUAUCAUGUCAAGGAGAAAUAACUGAAGGAAGGGAGAUUGUUUAGGCUAAUGAAAAGAGAUGUAGAGAUAUGUAGAGCAUUUGAUACAUGAAUGGUUCUAAAGAUUUAUUUGAGAGAGAGGGAGGGAGAGAGUGCCAGUACACAUGCACAUGAGCUGGUAGAGGGGCAGAGGGAGAGAAUCUUCUAGCAGAGUCCUGGCUGAUUGUGGAGCCCCACAUGGGGCUUGAUGUCACAACCCAUAAGAUCAUGGCCUGAGAUAUUACCUUUCCAAUGGCAAUGUCAGCUUUCCUGACAUUGAGAUGAUGCAUUGAGAUGAUGACAUUGAGAUAUUUCUAUGGCCACCACAUCCCCUCUCAUUCUUUUGUUUUCCAGAGGUCCAUUCUAUGCAGAACCCUUUGCAAAGAAUCCCACUAUGCUUCCACAAAGUUAUUUUGAGGAUUUAAACUGGCUCCAUACUUCCAGGAUUAAUAUAUAUUUGACAUUUUGUCAGAAAGGAGUGCACUUUGGUGAUCCCAGGCUUUGUUGCUAGCCAAACUUUGCCUUGAAUUCUCUCUGCCAUGAGUUAUACUCAGUCUAAUGAACAUCCUCUACCCAGAGACAAAUAUUAAAUGCUUCAGUGGUCCCUCAAGGCCUCUCUUUCUAGGCUUGAGGAGAAGAGAGAGGUGCCUCUGACUGCUUCUCCUUGGGGUUUGGUGCAGCUCACAACAGGGCAGUAGCUGUCUCCAAAGAAAUCUAUUUUAUCUUGGUACCCCGCCUAAAACAUCCAAUUUAAUUUUUUUUUUUUUAAAGAUUGAUUUGAGAGAGGGGUGCCUGGGUGGCUCAGUCAGUUAAGCAUCUGCUUUUGGCUCAGGUCAUGAUCCCAGGGUCCUGGGAUGGAGUCCUGUGCAGGGCUCCCUGCUCAGUGGGGAGCCUGCUUCUCCCUCUGCCUCUGCAGCUCCCCACCCUCCACUCGUGCUUGCACUCUUUCUCUCAAAUAAAUAAAAUCUUUAUUUUUUUAAAAAAGACUUUAUUUAUCUGACAGAGAAAGAGAGAGAUCACAGGUAGGUAGAGAGGCAGACAGAGAGAGAGGGGGAAGCAGGCUUCCCACCGAGCAGAGAGCCUGAUAUGGGGCUCGAUCGCAGGAUCCUGAGAUCAUGACCUGAGCCGAAGGUAGAGACUUAACCCAUGGAGCCACCCAGGUGCCCCUAAAAUCUUUAUUUUAAAAAGAUUUUAGUUGUUUAUUUGAGAGAGAGAGAUAGAGAAUCUGAGCAGGGGGAGUAGCAGGCAGAGGGAGAGGGAGAAGCAGACUCCCCACAGAACUGAGAGCUGGACUCGGGGCUCAAUCCUAGGACUCCAGGAUCACAACUGGAGCUGAAGGCAGAUUCUUAACCAACUGAGCCACCCCAAUGCCCCUAAAUAAAUCUUAAAAAAAAAAAAAAAAAAUUGAGAGCCAAAGUGUGCAAGCAGGAGUGGGGGGAAAGUGAGAGAACUUUAAGCAGACUCCCCCCUGAGAGUGCAGCCCAAUGUGGGAUUCGAUAUCAUGACCCAUGAGAUUAUGACCUGAGCCAAAACCAUGAGUCAGGUUCCUAACCAACGAAGUCACCCAGGCAUCCCUCAAUUUAAAAUCUUACCAAGGGGCACCUGGAUGGCUCAGUCUGUAGAGCAUGUGACACAAUUUUUUUUUUUUUAAAGAGUUAUUUAUUUAUAUGGGGUAGAGGGGCAGAGGGAGAGGGAGAGAGAGGCUCCAGCAGAGACUCCCAGCUGAGUGAGGAGCCCGAAGCUGGGCUGGAUCCCAUGACCCUGAGAUUGUGACCUGAGCCAAAAUCAAGAGUUGCAUGCUUAACUGACUGAGCAACCAGGCACCCUGAGCACAUGACUCUUGAUCUUAGGGGCAUGAGUUCAAGUACUAUACUGGGUGUGGAAAAGAUAAGAAAAAAAGAAAAGGAAAGGAAGAAAAGAAAAGAGAAGAAAGAAAAGAAAAGAGGCACCUGGGUAGCUCAAUCUGUUAAGUGGUUGCCUUUGGCUCAGGUCAUGUUCUCAGGGUCCUGGGGUCAAGCCCCACAUUGGGCUUCCUGCUCAGUGGGAAUCAGCUUCUACCUCUCCCUCUGCCUCUCCCCUCAGCUUGUUUGCACCCUCUCUCUCAAAUAAAUAAAACCUUUUAAAAAAUUAAAAAAAGAAAAAAGGCACUCUAAGUGCUUUGUCAAUAAAUAAAUAAAAUCUUAUUAAAUAUAGGGCCCCCUGGCUGGCUCAGUUGGUGGUGUGUGUGACUCUUGAUCUCGUGGUUUGAUCUCGUGGUUGUGAGUUUGAGAGCCACACUGGGUGUGGAGAUUACAUAAAAAUAAAAUCUUUU